GACGAACGCUGGCGGCGUGCUUAACACAUGCAAGUCGAACGGAAAGGCCCUGCUUUUGUGGGGUGCUCGAGUGGCGAACGGGUGUGUAACACGUGAGUAACCUGCCCUUGACUUUGGGAUAACUUCAGGAGACUGGGGCUCAUACCGGAUAGGAGCUCCUGCUGCAUGGUGGGGGUUGGAAAGUUUCGGUGGUUGGGGAUGGUCUCGCGGCUUAUCCGCUGUUUGUGGGGGAUUGGCUUGCCAAGGCUUUUACGGGUAGCCGGCCUGAGAGGGUUACCGGGCACAUGGGGACUGAGAGACGGACCAGUCGCCAACGGGAGGCAGCAGUGGGGAAUAUUGCACAAUGGGCGGAAGCGUGAUGCAGCAACGCCGCGUGCGGGAAGACGGGCUACGGGGUGUAAACCGCUUUCGCCGGUGACGAAGCGUGAGUGACGGUAAUGGGUAAAGAAGCACCGGCUAACUACGUG
rnacentral:rRNA from 1 species